rnacentral:snoRNA from 1 species
GCACUUAAUUAGGUAUCUCUGCCAUUUGAGGCACUGAUGCUCAGUAAAUGUGCGAAAAUCAAAGAAGAUGUGCUCAGUUGGAUUGGCUUCUCUUACCUUGCCAGUCCACACGGUACAAUUUCGACACC